rnacentral:rRNA from 1 species
CCUACGGGGGGCAGCAGUGAGGAAUAUUGGUCAAUGGGCGCGAGCCUGAACCAGCCAAGUCGCGUGAGGGAAGACGGUCCUAUGGAUUGUAAACCUCUUUUGUCGGGGAGCAAAAGACGCCACGCGUGGCGUUCCGAGAGUACCCGAAGAAAAAGCAUCGGCUAACUCCGUGCCAGCAGCCGCGGUAAAACGUAGGGGGCGAGCGUUGUCCGGAAUGACUGGGCGUAAAGGGUGCGUAGGCGGCAUAAUAAGUUAGAAGUGAAAUACCCAGAGCUUAACUCGGGUGCUGCUUCUAAGACUGUUGAGCUUGAGUGCGGGAGAGGUUAAUGGAAUUCCUAGUGUAGCGGUGGAAUGCGUAGAUAUUAGGAGGAACACCAGAGGCGAAGGCGAUUAACUGGACCGUAACUGACGCUGAGGCACGAAAGUGUGGGUAGCAAACAGGAUUAGAUACCCGAGUAGUC